rnacentral:rRNA from 1 species
CCUGCCUGUAAGUUGGGGAUAACUCCGGGAAACCGGGGCUAAUACCGAAUGAUAGAAUGUGGCGCAUGCCACGCUUUUGAAANAUGGUUUCGGCUAUCGCUUACAGAUGGGCCCGCGGUGCAUUAGCUAGUUGGUAGGGNAAUGGCCUACCAAGGCAACGAUGCAUAGCCGACCUGAGAGGGUGAUCGGCCACACUGGGACUGANACACGGCCCAGACUCCUACGGGAGGCAGCAGUAGGGAAUCUUCCGCAAUGGACGAAAGUCUGACGGAGCAACGCCGCGUGUAUGAAGAAGGUUUUCGGAUCGUAAAGUACUGUUGUUAGAGAANAACAAGGAUAAGAGUAACUGCUUGUCCCUUGACGGUAUCUAACCAGAAAGCCACGGCUAACUACGUGCCAGCAGCCGCGGUAAUACGUAGGUGGCAAGCGUUGUCCGGAUUUAUUGGGCGUAAAGCGCGCGCAGGCGGUCUUUUAAGUCUGAUGUGAAAGCCCCCGGCUUAACCGGGGAGGGUCAUUG